rnacentral:miRNA from 1 species
GGGGAGAACCUGACUGGACCU